GCACUGCUGAAGAGUCCCAUACUAGGACGAAACGGCCGUCUGGUGC
rnacentral:hammerhead_ribozyme from 1 species